rnacentral:rRNA from 1 species
UAGUCCACGCCGUAAACGAUGGUUACUAGCUGUUCGGACUUCGGUCUGAGUGGCUAAGCGAAAGUGAUAAGUAACCCACCUGGGGAGUACGUUCGCAAGAAUGAAACUCAAAGGAAUUGACGGGGGCCCGCACAAGCGGUGGAGCAUGUGGUUUAAUUCGAUGAUACGCGAGGGACCUUACCAGGGCUUAAAUGUAGUCUGACAGCUUUAGAGAUAGAUCUUUCUUCGGACUACUUACAAGGUGCUGCAUGGUUGUCGUCAGCUCGUGCCGUGAGGCGUCAGGUUAAGUCCUAUAACGAGCGCAACCCCUACCGUUAGUUGCCAGCAUGUUAUGAUGGGGACUCUAGCGGGACUGCCGGUGCAAACCGAGAGGAAGGUGGGGAUGACGUCAAAUCAUCACGGCCCUUACGUCCUGGGCUACACACGUGCUACAAUGGUCAGUACAGAGGGCGGCCGCUACGCGAGUAGGAGCGAAUCCUUAAAACUGAUCUCAGUUCGGAUCGGAGUCUGC